AAAAAAUUAGUUAAACAAAUAACAUUAGUAUGUCAAACUAAAAUUAUUAAGCCCUUAAUAUUUUUUA
rnacentral:tRNA from 1 species